rnacentral:rRNA from 1 species
GACGAACGCUGGCGGCGUGCUUAACACAUGCAAGUCGAACGGAAAGGCCCUGCUUUUGUGGGGUGCUCGAGUGGCGAACGGGUGAGUAACACGUGAGUAACCUGCCCUUGACUUUGGGAUAACUUCAGGAAACUGGGGCUAAUACCGGAUAGGAGCUCCUGCUGCAUGGUGGGGGUUGGAAAGUUUCGGCGGUUGGGGAUGGACUCGCGGCUUAUCAGCUUGUUGGUGGGGUAGUGGAUUACCAAGGCUUUGACGGGUAGCCGGCCUGAGAGGGUGACCGGCCAAAUUGGGACUGAGAUACGGCCCAGACUCCUACGGGAGGCAGCAGUGGGGAAUAUUGCACAAUGGGCGGAAGCCUGAUGCAGCAACGCCGCGUGCGGGAUGACGGCCUUCGGGUUGUAAACCGCUUUCGCCUGUGACGAAGCGUGAGUGACGGUAAUGGGUAAAGAAGCACCGGCUAACUACGUG